rnacentral:tRNA from 1 species
GGGGUAUUAGCGCAGCUGGAAGCGCACCACACUGGCAGUGUGGGGGUCAGGGGUUCAAAUCCCCUAUACUCCACCA